UGGACCCACAGUCCCAUCUCCAUCGCUCACUUGGCUGGCAGUACCUAAGGGGAAUAAACACCACAUCAUCUAAGAAUCCUAUGGGGACAAAGUCUUCUACACCUUUAGGUCUGAGUUUUCAGAGGACUACAGCUCCCAUGAUCCCCAAGAAGAACUGGACCUGAGCUUCAACAGCGAUGCACUUUGGGAAGAGGAGGAAGUAUACAAAAUAAUUUCCCUUGCUUAAGCAAGAGAAGUAAAGUUUUGAAGAUACAAGACCUUGGAUGAAGCUCCUGUCAGCAGUUGAGUCUGAUCAAGCACUGUGUGCAUCUGACAGCCAGCUUGGCACCACCUCACCACAUGCAGCAACAGGGCUCCAAUGGAUUCCACAAGCAAGGCCAAGAGGAAGUAAAGGUGGCCCUUCCUCUGCUAAGCUGCUGCUGGGAGACAGGGGAGCUGGACCCCUCUGCCAUUGCCUCCCACUGUGAGGACUCAAGGCUCAGGGUGAGGGGUGUCAGGAGAGGAAGCCCUGCUGCCUCCCAGCGAGUCAGUGACCAUGGAUGCUGCUGCCCUGGUGCUCCUCCAACAGCCUUUCCAGCAGGGGACUGGCCCUGCUGCUGCCCCUCUUCAACUUGGAGGAAAUGUUUGCCAGUGACUCAGGGAACAGGGGCUGGAGCUUUAGGAAUAAACUCUUUUUUCACAGGCAAAUGAGUGGGAAGUGUUUCCAAUAUAUGUGCAUAUGUACAGUUGUCCUGCUACUGGAGACAUCAGAAAUGUCCCUUGUAAUAGCCUUUAAAGGAAAAUGGAAGGAAAUUUCAAGCAGUAUUGACCAAAAACUACAAUUGUAUAAUUUGAAAAAUGCCAGAAUAUUUGGUUUGUUUGGUAUUUUCACCUCCUUUUUGUGUUUUUUUUUUAUACUACACUCAUGAAACCAAUAGAAAAUAAUGAAGCAUACAACUGAAUCCAUAUUACAGAACGCAAAAGGUUUCUUAUAAUAACAUGUACCUAUCCCUAGUUGUUAUAAUUUCUCAAUUAGAAGAACCAAAAAAGUUGGUGAGGGAGAUUAUAGUUGAGCAGUUUGUAGGAUUUUUUUUCUUUUAUUCCUCCACUCACAGCAAGACAUUGGCAGAAUCCCAUUGAACUGAGAAGAAGAUAAUUAGAUUCCAGAAAUAAUUCUUAUUGCCUGUCUUAAAAUUACUACUCGUAUUCUCUCUCUGUAUUGAAACAGAAGUGUUUUACAGAUUCAGAUUUUUUUUAUAGUGGUAUUGAACUUUCUGUUUGCUCAAAUUAAGAAAUAUCAAUGGUAUGUGCAAUAAAAAUUGAUUUUCAAGAGUG